rnacentral:rRNA from 1 species
GCACAAGCGGUGGAUGAUGUGGUUUAAUUCGAUGCAACGCGAAAACCUUACCCACCUUUGACAUGGCAGGAAUCCCGAAGAGAUUGGGAGUGCUCGAAAGAGAACCUGCACACAGGUGCUGCAUGGCUGUCGUCAGCUCGUGUCGUGAGAUGUUGGGUUAAGUCCCGCAACGAGCGCAACCCUUGCCAUUAGUUGCUACGAAAGGGCACUCUAAUGGGACUGCCGGUGACAAACCGGAGGAAGGUGGGGAUGACGUCAAGUCCUCAUGGCCCUUAUAGGUGGGGCUACACACGUCAUACAAUGGCCGGUACAGAGGGUAGCCAACCCGCGAGGGGGAGCCAAUCCCACAAAGCCGGUCGUAGUCCGGAUCGCAGUCUGCAACUCGACUGCGUGAAGUCGGAAUCGCUAGUAAUCGCGGAUCAGCAUGUCGCGGUGAAUACGUUCCCGGGUCUU